GAUGAACGCUGGCGGCGUGCCUAAUACAUGCAAGUCGAGCGAACAGACGAGGAGCUUGCUCCUUCGACGUUAGCGGCGGACGGGUGAGUAACACGUAGGUAACCUACCUAUAAGACUGGGAUAACUUCGGGAAACCGGAGCUAAUACCGGAUAAUAUUUCGAACCGCAUGGUUCGAUAGUGAAAGAUGGCUUUGCUAUCACUUAUAGAUGGACCUGCGCCGUAUUAGCUAGUUGGUAAGGUAACGGCUUACCAAGGCAACGAUCCGUAGCCGACCUGAGAGGACGAUCAGCCACACUGGGACUGAGACACGGUCCAGACUCCUACGGGAGGCAGCAGUGGGGAAUUUUCGACAAUGGGCGCAAGCCUGAUGCAGCCACGCCGCGUGAAGGACGAAGGUCUUCGGGUCGUAAACUUCUUUUAUAAGGAACGAAAAAGCUCUGGCUAAUACGUGGGGCUCAUGACGGUACCGAAAGAAAAAGCACCGGCUAACUACGUG
rnacentral:rRNA from 1 species